rnacentral:lncRNA from 1 species
GUUCCCAGGCUAGGGGUCCAAUCAGAGCCGUAGCCGCAGGCCUACACCAACAGCCACAGCAAUGCAGUAUCCGAGCCACGUCUGCAACCUACACCACAGCUCAUGGCAACGCCAGAUCCUUAACCCACUGAGCAAGGCCAGAGAUCGAACCCGCAACCUCAUGGCUACUAGUUGGAUUCGUUAACCACUGAGACUCAACGGGAACUCCUGGUAUUUCUAUAUUUAGUUUUCUGAGGAAUCUCCACACUGUUUUCCAUAGUGGUUAGACCAAUUUUCUCAUUCCUACCAACAGUGUAGGAGGGUUCCCUUCUCUCCACACCUUCUCCUACAUUUGCUAUUUGUAGAUUUAUUAAUGAUGACCAUUCUGACCAUUGUAAGGUGGCAUCUCAUUUUAGUUUUGGUUUACAUUUCUCUAAUAAUUAGUGAUUUAAACUCUGUUUUGGGGGACUUCCUAUGGUGGUUCAGCAAGAUAAAAAAACAACUAGUAUCCAUGAGGAUGUGGGUUCAAUUCCCUGGCCUCACUUAGUGGGUUAAAGAUUUGGUGUUGCUGUGGCUAUGGUGUAGGUUGGCAGCUGCAGCUCUGAUUUGACUCCUAGCCAGGGAACUUCUGUAUGUCACAGGUAUGGGCCUUAAAAGCAAAAAACCCCAAAAAACAUAAACAAAAACCACCUCUUUUUUUGAUCUAGUACUUUAACAGCUUAAAUAAGAUUAAACUCUUAUUUCAGUAGUGAACCAACAACAGCACCUAAGAGUCAAAAACAAUGGAUAUCUAUUCUCAUACUUCCCUACAAGGAGAAAAGUAUAUCUACAGUUUAAUGAUGCCAGAAAAAGGAAAUUGUGACUCUGACCUGUCUCCUGGGGCAUAAAAAAUGUGGUAUUAAGUAACGCAUGAACACAUGGUAUUCUUUUGUCCUUCCAUCCAUAAAAGAGAGGAAAAGCAUUCCCUAUUCACCAUGCAAAGAUCCUGCCUAUUUUUCUAGCCUAAAUCCCUGUUACUCCUCCACAAAAAACCAUGAUUGUGGCCAGGACACUUUACUAUUACUCCUUCUGAGCACAUCAAGCACUUGUCUCUUCAACUCUUCACUCAUUUUGUCCCCCCUUCGUAGACACUUUAUUUCCCUUUGGACUGUCAUAUCCAUUCUUUUAAUCCCCUAUUUUAUCAUUAUACAGCAUUCUAAUAUUAUUUCAGUAUUACUUCUAAGAUCAUUUUCCUCUAAAUCCUAUAGAUCUUAUUUUUAUACCUCACUUAUGGUACUUCCUAUAUACUGUCUUUCUAACUAGUGUCUAUAUUAGAAGGGGUCAAUGAAACCUAGCACUAGGAGGGACCAUAGGGGACAUAUGGUCCAACUGUCCAACCCAUGCAGGAAGCCAUUCUCUGCACUACCAGCAAAUGCUUACUUUAGUUUGCUUGGCUCCCAACCUUCCUUCAGCAUCCAAAGAUGGGAAACACACAUUUUCUUUAUUAAAUACACACACAGAACAAUAGAACCCAGUGCAAAGUAGCCUCAGUAAAUGCCUGUUGAAUGAAUAAAAAUUCUUUAUUUUAAAGUUGAAUAGCUCUAAUUUUGAACUAGUGCUUCCUCAUACUUAGCUCAAAUGUAGCUCUGUCAUUUUGACUAGUGAUAAUUAUUCUGGGCCUUGGCUUGCUUCUAUACAUAGCAGAUGUCAUAUACUUCAAUAUCAAUUAUAUAAUGAGAUUUAUCUUGACCACAUUGACUAUUGAUCCCCUUUAAUCAUCUAAGAUAAUUUCCAGACCCUCUCUUGGGAAACUUACCACUUAGAUUAUAGUUGAGAAGAGAGUUCAACAUUCCUCUGAGCACCUGGAGUAUGGAAUCUCUCUCUACUUGGGGAACUGUAUUAAUGCCCAGCAGAGUAUCACAAUGCAGAUAGCAAAGAUUUACUCAAAAUAGAUUGAAAAUCUAUGUGAUUGGCAUAGCAUGGAUGCCCCAUUACCAUACCACCUCUAGAAGAUACAUACAUUCAUUCCUAACAAUAUUGUAGUCUAUGCGUACUUUUCAAGAUCAUUCUCUGGCAUUCAAAAGACCACCUUGAUUUUCCUUAAAGUCCAUCUGCCAACUUUUCACAAGAAAACUGAAGAUAAAGGCUGUUGAACCAUGAAAUGAGGAUGGAGAACAGCAUGUCUACACAUGUACAUUUGGAAGAGAGAAGUUCAAACUCCAGAAACAGCAGAUGGACCAAGCUCCACAAUGAACAGAACAGGUUGAGAGUAGAGACAUCUUUGUUAUUUUUUUUUUUUAUUCCUUUAACUUUCAAUCCUUCAGGAAAUCCAAUCUCUAAUCAACACAAAAUAGUACAAUUUAACAGCCACGUUAUUGCUUUCUCACAGUAGACCUAGUUUUCACAGGCCUACAUUCAAUAUUAUUAGGUGCAUUUGACUUCCGUAAUCUUCAGAAAGUGUGCUGCUGCUUUUCUAUGUCAAAUAGUUAACAAUCUUUUAAGUAUAAAUAUAUUUUUUCAAUAUUUUCAAACUCUAAUCAUUUCAGGGGCUAGAGUUCCAGUUUUAUUUAUUAGUUUCAACCACAUACUUGUGUUAGAACAGAGAAAGGAGAACACUUGGUGGGAAAAGGUUGUCAUAAUUUUUUAUGUGCUACAAAGAUAAACUAUAAAAUACAUAUAUGUUUUGGCCAAAAUAUUCUACUCAUCUAUUUUUCAUAGAAAGAGGGUCCUUACAAGGAGGUAGGACAAUGGUUUCUAAGCUCAUGCCCAAGUUAUCAAAGAGGAAACUGCAGCAUUGUGACCCUUGAAAAGAUUAUAAUAAUUGAAAAAUUACAUAAUCACUUUAUUUAUUAUUAUUGUAAUUGACAUUAAAGUAUAUAAAGCAAUAAACUUUAAUUACUUAAUUUCUGAUAACAUAUGGCUUACCACUACUUUCCAAACCUAUUUUCAUUUCUUUUGACCUAAAGUAAUUUAAGGGGAAAUUUUUAAAAAAAGGUUGUACUUUGAUCGCACAUUGUGCUGUGUACUCUGAAAUGAAUUGUGCCUUUAAAUAUGUAUAUUAUGUGUAAACAACAAUGCAGGUUUAUCAUGCAUGGUGAUCAAUGAAGUCCUUUGCAACUGAAUCAAUAAUUUUUUAAUUUUAUCACACUGCCACCAGAAUUAUAAAAAGUAUAUAAAAAUCCGUCAUUGAAAUGAGAGAAAUCUCUUCCACCUUCAAUAAGUAAAACCAAAAGCAAUAAGUGCCUAGAGACUAGAUCAUCUGUCAGUUACAACACAUCAUUCCAGUUUCUCAAAUUAUGAAUAUGUAGUUUUCUGAGUAGCAAAUUUCAUGGCUGAGGGAGUACAAAUUAGUUUGCCAGUUCACAAUGAGGUAAGUGGAAUUUGGGAAGGUUUCAGUCACCUGGGGAGUGGAUGGAGCAUAUGGCUCAAUGUUAUUCUUAAGGUUUCAAUAAGAAACUAUGCUAUGGAGCUGCAGUGUUAACAAAGGUGUGAGUCUUUAAAGCCUACUACCUAGGCAUGGGCAUUCUUAUGAGGUCUGUCAGCAUGCUGGGAGUAGUAAGCAUUACAUAGAAUCUCAGUUUCUAUUUCCAGUAUCAUUACCCCACUUACACACCCUUUAGGAGGACACCCAACAUCCUCAGGCCAAUUUUCAUACAUACUUUGUAAACCUGUAGAAUAUCUCUAUGUAAAGUUAUAAGAGUUGCAUGGCUCUUUUACUGUGUGCCAAAAAAAGAUUUCAGGCUCAAGUAAGACAUAUUUGUUUUACUUGUCUAGGUGUAUCCAUCAACAGCAUUUAUUGAGCUCCCACCGUGUGUAAAGAUUCUUACUUGAAGAAAGUUGAUCCAGAAAGGAAGAAGGUAAGUGCCUCUGCCUUCCAACUGCUGAGGAAGGAAAAACAAUAAAUGAAUAUGCAGUGGAGGCUUAUUUUUAACCCAGCAUUCUCAGAAAUAACAUUCAGAAAACAGAAGCUCUUUUUUUAUUUAAUUUUUUUUUAAACAGAUGCUCAUUUUAGCCAUGUUAGUUGCAGAGAUGUGACACCAGAUUGCUCUUUACGAAAAGAUUUGCUGCCUACAGGAAAGGAGUAUGAUUUGCCUCAGCCUUCCAGUUUAUUCUCAGGACAGCUCCUGGCCAAUCAUUAAGCAAGCCAGUGCAUCAGAGCCAAGCAUGUCCUCUCAGCAAAGGGCAUCUUUGCUCUGGGGGUGGAAACCCUGAUGGCAGAGGUGCACCAUGAUAUGACAGCUUCCUUAUACAAUCCUACUUCUGCUCUUUUUCUUUCACAGACAUUAUUCACCAUUAAAUGUUUUGCAUGCCUAAUUCCAUAUCUAAGAUUCUUUGUGGAGAACCCAACUUACUUGCAACAGAGAGGCCUAUGAAAUAUCUCAAUAAAGCCAUUAAAUAAUUUAUUUUAAUAGACUUUCCUAUUUUCUGAAACAUACCAUACUCAUAACAGUGACACUAGGAGGCUAUAGGAGGACCCGUGGGCAUUCUUUUUGACUGUUGUCACUUCCCAGUGCAUGAGUAUAGAGCAGCCUAGCUCUUCUAUUUGGAAGAUCUGAAGUGAAAAUCAAACUACAAAAUUUGUAAAAUUAUUAAACUAAAUUUGUAUACAAUUCUACGACUCUAAUCUCUUGCUUUUGGAUGAAGGGAAAGCCAAGGCUCUCUGAGUGUUCUCUCAUUGUUUAGAAGCCUCCUUUUCUGUUACUGUUGUGAUUAGAAUAACAGUGUCCAGAAUUCAUUUUGUAUGUAGAUGUGUGUAUAUAUAAGGAUAUAUCUGCAGCAGGAUCUUAUGUGAGACUUUCUUUUUUGGUGCAGAAUUGUUGAAGGUGUUAAGUAUUCCAUGUUUAGAAGAAAAUGAGUAGUCUGUGAGGAUGAGACAUGAAUUUACUAGAAGGAGACAAAACUGGCCCUGCUACCACUAGCCAUCAGUUUAUCUCCUCUGUAGAAUCUGCAAAGGGACAAAGUUAUCAUCAAAUCCUCUGCCAUUGAGGUAUCAAUGUUCAUGAUGAGAAGCUAUUGUCUUUCCUUAAAGCCAAGAGUAGGAUGUGGCGGUAUUACUGAGAGACUAUAUGAGGUACCUGAGAGAAAGGGAUUCAGGCAUUUCAUUCCCUGGUUAGAUGUCUGUUUGGCAGCUAACUAGCAUAUCUAUCUCAGAGUCUGUCCAAGUAAUAGGAAAAGAGUACUGAAGAGAGAUAGCACAGCUAAGAUAGGACAUACCAGUGGGUCAGCCUAUAAUCCACCAUUUGGCAUUGCAAGGAUAUCUGAGUUUCUGGUGGACCAGGCGAAUGCCAUAGAAGGAAGCUAGUAUGUAGCUAUUUGUUGCAUUCAAUAUAAGAGAUC